rnacentral:rRNA from 1 species
GACGAACGCUGGCGGCGUGCUUAACACAUGCAAGUCGAACGAAAAGGCCCUGCUUUUGCGCGGUGCUCGUGUGGCGCACGGGUGAGUAACACGUGAGUAACAUGCCCCUGACUUUGUGAUAACUUCUGGAAACUGGGGCUCAUACCGCAUAGGAGCUCCUGCUGCAUGUUGUGCGUUGGUAAGUUUCGGCUGUUGGGGAUCGUCUCGCGGCUUAUCCGCUUGUUGGUCUGGUAGGGGCUUACGAAGGCUUCGACGGGUAGCCGGCCUGAGAGGGUGACCGGCCACAUUGGGACUGAGAGACGGCCCAGAAUGCUACGGGAGGCAGCAGUGGGGAAUAUUGCGCAGUGGGCGGAAGCCUGAUGCAGCAGCGCCGGGUGCGUGAUGACGGCCUUCGGGUGGUAAACCGCUGUGGCAGGUGACAUGGCGUGAGUGACGGUAAUGGGUAAAGAAGCGACGGCUAACUACGUG